rnacentral:rRNA from 1 species
GCGGGUGAGUAACACGUAUCCAACCUGCCGUCUACUCUUGGACAGCCUUCUGAAAGGAAGAUUAAUACAAGAUGGCAUCAUGAGUCCGCAUGUUCACAUGAUUAAAGGUAUUCCGGUAGACGAUGGGGAUGCGUUCCAUUAGAUAGUAGGCGGGGUAACGGCCCACCUAGUCUUCGAUGGAUAGGGGUUCUGAGAGGAAGGUCCCCCACAUUGGAACUGAGACACGGUCCAAACUCCUACGGGAGGCAGCAGUGAGGAAUAUUGGUCAAUGGGCGCUAGCCUGAACCAGCCAAGUAGCGUGAAGGAUGAAGGCUCUAUGGGUCGUAAACUUCUUUUAUAUAAGAAUAAAGUGCAGUAUGUAUACUGUUUUGUAUGUAUUAUAUGAAUAAGGAUCGGCUAACUCCGUGCCAGCAGCCGCGGUAAUAC